GUGCUCACUCCUGCAGCACAUAUACUAAAAUUGGAACCAUACAGAGAAGAUUAGCAUGGCCCCUGUGCAAGGAUGACAUGCAAAUUUGUGAAGCGUUCUAUAUUUUU
ensembl:snRNA U6 U6 spliceosomal RNA